GCCGAUCCGAGGUAGCGAGCAGUCGCGGAAGACGCUCUCCAAAAACUUGAUUGCCCGCACACCCAAGCAGGUGUCUGGAUGUAAGGCGUCGGGUUCCGGAGGCCUGCUCUCCCGAUCUCUGUGCGCGCAGUGGUUCGGGACAGAGAUGAACCUAAGCAACUUGACAGGAAAGAGAUGAGAGGAGAGGACUGAGCAACUUGACAGGAAAGAGAUGAGAGGAGAGGACUAAUGUGUUGUGUC
rnacentral:lncRNA from 1 species